GGGAUGAUCUUCAUUUCAGCUUCAGUGAUAUUUGGAUACCAUCGGUGGAUUGAGAGCAUCCAGUAAUUGAAACUCCACGGACCGCGGCUAAGCACAAGGGUCAUCGCUUCUUCUGUCUGAAACUUAAACUGGACUUUGCCUCUGUCCAGAAUCCGACCAACACACGAAUCAGGGAAACCCAGACCCUUGGCAUCUGCCCUAUCAAAGCACGGAGAUUCUGUUUACGAGGGUUCACCGUCGUCACAACAAGGGAAAAGCGGUUCACAUGAGCGGCUUGUGAACAAAAUUCCGGUGUGAGAGCCACCGGUUCAUCAUCAAUUCCCAGAGUCAAGUCUUGAACCGAUUUUCGAAGUUUGUCACUCAUGAUUACGGAUGAAUUUGUUUAAGGUGAAGUGGAUUGAGAUUGUGGAACUAGAAGAGAAGAAAGGA
rnacentral:sRNA from 1 species